GUGGUCUGUACAAUAGUGAUAGUAUUGAGGGGGAAAAAGGUUAAAAAGGUGUUGUUUACUUUUAUAAUUUCUUUUAACAAUUUUUUUAUUUUUCUAGAGAUUUUCUGCAGUUUCAUGGAAGAGGGAGGAAAUUUCAGUGCAGUACUUUCUGGGGAGAUCCUAGGAAUUUUGUCUCUGUAUGAAGCUUCAUUUCUAUCAAUGGAAAAUGAAGGCAUCCUGGAUGAGGCUUGAAAUUUCGCAACCCAUCAUCUCAAGGAAACACUCCAUCAUAUUACAGACCAGAGUCUUGCUUUACAAGUCAGCCAUGGAUUGGAUCUUCCGCUGCACUGGAGAGUGCAGAAACUAGAAUCAAAAUGGUUCAUAAAUGUAUACGAGAAUAGACACGAUAAAAACCUUAGUUUACUCGAACUUUCAAAGUUGGAUUUCAACAUUUUACAGGCUAUAUAUCAGGAUGAAGUAAAGCAACUGUCAAG
rnacentral:lncRNA from 1 species